GAAUCUUGCGCAAUGGGCGAAAGCCUGACGCAGCGACGCCGCGUGAGUGAUGAAGGCCUUAGGGUUGUAAAGCUCUGUGGAGAGGGACGAAUAAGGUGUAGUUAAUAGCUGCAUUGAUGACGGUACCUCUUUAGCAAGCACCGGCUCACUCUGUGCCAGCAGCCGCGGUAAGCCAGAGGGUGCAAACGUUGUUCGGAAUUACUGGGCGUAAAGCGCGUGUAGGCGGCUUCACAAGUCGGAUGUGAAAUCCCAGGGCUCAACCCUGGACGUGCAUUCGAAACUGUGUGGCUAGAGUCUCGGAGAGGGAAGCGGAAUUCUGGGUGUAGAGGUGAAAUUCGUAGAUAUCCAGAGGAACACCUGUGGCGAAGGCGGCUUCCUGGACGAGUACUGACGCUGAGACGCGAAAGUGUGGGGAGCAAACAGG
rnacentral:rRNA from 1 species